GGCUUCAUAGCCUCAGUUGGUAGAGCAACGCACUAGUAACACGGAGGUCAUGGGUUCAAAUCCCAUUUGAAGCCA